rnacentral:lncRNA from 1 species
AUACUUCUGCAAGCAAUAAUAGCUAGCAUUAUCUGUUACAUGUCUCUUCCAUUGAUGACGAUUAACAGUAUACCUCUGUGGAACACGAAAGGACUCGUUGCAUUAAUUGUGCUACAUGUGACCUUCUCAGAGCCAUUAUACUACUUUCUUCACAGAACUUUUCAUAGUAACACCUACCUCUUCACGCAUUACCACUCCUUCCAUCACUCAUCUCCUGUGCCACAUCCCAUGACUUGUACAUUUUCAUCACUAAUAACCUUAUUCAAAAAUUCAUUCUUGUUUGUUGUAAUAUAACAAUAUUUUAUCUAUUGGGUGCAGCUGGAAAUGCGACGUUACUGGAAAGCCUUAUCCUCUGCGUCGUAGCUGGAGUUCCUUUGGUUGGAUCUUGCUUGCUAGGUGUUGGAUCAUUAGGGUUGAUCUACGGAUAUGCUAUUAUGUUUGAUUUCCUAAGAUGUUUAGGACAUUGUAACGUUGAAAUCUUCUCUCACAAGCUAUUCGAGACACUUCCAAUCCUUCGAUAUCUCAUCUACACUCCUACGUAUGCCGUUGACACUUUUAUUACCCUUUCGGCAAAGUAUUCACAUGUCAUUUUUCUUUUUGGAUUUGGUUAGGACACAUAAACAUGACUUAAUUUUGUCUUCUUUUUUUUUUUUACUUUAAGAAGCAAAAUUGCCAAGAUUGUAUUAGCUAUGAAAUAUGCCUAUCGAAAGUAAUUGGUGGUGUUACAUUUUUAGUUGCAUCACAAUGAUUUUACAGUGUAAUGAUUUAAAAAAUAUCUUUAAAAAGUUGAUUUUCUUGGUGGGGUUUAUGCAGGUACCAUAGUCUGCAUCAUCAUGAGAUGGGGACCAACUUUUGUCUAUUCAUGCCUAUCUUUGAUGUCUUGGGCAACACACUUAACUCAAACUCGUGGGGACUCCAAAAGAAGAUUCGCUUGUCUGCAGGUAAAUAUAGCAAACCUACUCCACGCAGUUUUUGUUUUUGUUUUUGUUUUUGUUUUGCAUAUCUAGCCCAAAGCCUGAACACACGAAUCUGUUACUAGACUAGUUGAAUGAAUGAAUACCAAACAGUUUAAUGGCAAUUUAUGAGGGACAUUAGUAGAAAUAGAGUUUGUACUUUGUGCAACCAAAGUGGGUGAGAAUUUUCUAUUUCUGGUCAAAGUCAAACCUCUUGAGCCAAAAGACAUUGUUACCCCUUCUUUAACCUGAAAACUACAGUUUUGUUUUAACUAACUUUGAUGUCCGUGUGUAGGGGAACGGAAGAGAGUGCCGGAGUUUGUGUUCUUGGCUCACGGGGUAGAUGUGAUGUCGGCGAUGCAUGCUCCGUUUGUGUUCAGAUCGUUUGCUUCAAUGCCAUACACAACGAGGCUCUUCUUGCUGCCCAUGUGGCCAUUCACGUUCAUGGUGAUGUUGGGCAUGUGGGUCUGGUCAAAGACUUUUCUUUUCAGCUUCUAUACCCUCAGGAACAAUCUUUGCCAGACUUGGGGAGUUCCAAGAUUCGGGUUCCAAGUAAAUGCCUCUGCUUUUUUUUCAGUUUUACCCUCUAAAAACAGACAGAACAGAGUGUUUUUACAGAGCAUUUUCCUCUGUUUUUGCAGUACUUUUUACCGAUUGCUAAACAAGGAAUUAACAACCAGAUCGAGAAUGCGAUUCUUAGGGCUGAUAAGAUUGGUGUUAAAGUUAUAAGCUUGGCUGCUUUGAACAAGGUUUGUGUCGGAACCGAAGUCUCAAAAAAAAAGUCUGAAACUUUUGAGUCAAGUCACUAAAAGGGUUGGUUUUGUUUGAGUGUUUGCUCAGAACGAAGCUCUAAAUGGUGGUGGGACGUUGUUUGUCAACAAGCAUCCUGACCUUAGAGUUCGUGUGGUCCACGGGAACACAUUAACCGCAGCAGUGAUUCUUAAUGAGAUUCCAAAAGAUGUGAAAGAGGUGUUCUUGACAGGAGCCACUUCUAAGCUGGGAAGAGCCAUCGCUCUCUACCUCUGUCGUCAGGGAGUGAGAGUUCUCGUAAGUUUUUUUUACUAAUGUCUCGAAUGUACGGUUUAAUAUAGUAUCCCAAAGUCUGACAUAUGUUGGAACCAAUUGACAGAUGUUGACACUAUCGGUGGAAAGAUUCCAAAAGAUUCAGAAAGAAGCUCCUGUUGAGUUCCAGAACUACCUUGUACAAGUGACCAAAUACAACGCUGCUCAAAACUGCAAGGUAGUGUAUUUGAGUUCUAACUGGUUUUCAUUUGUUGUGUAAAUGUAAAUGUAUUGACUUUGGGGUGUUUGAAUUAUGUAUAAUGCAGACUUGGAUCGUUGGGAAAUGGUUAACGCCAAGGGAGCAGAGCUGGGCUCCUAAAGGAACGCAUUUCCACCAGUUUGUGGUGCCACCAAUCCUCAACUUCAGGAGGAACUGCACUUACGGGGAUCUAGCUGCAAUGAGGCUCCCUGAAGAUGUUCAAGGGCUAGGAACCUGCGAGGUUUAAAGAAUGUUUGGUUUACAAUAGUCUUGAUUGUCUCUUUAGCCCUUUGGUACACCUGACUAAAACUUUAUGUGUGUAUGUUGUGGCAGUACACAAUGGACAGAGGGGUGGUGCAUGCAUGCCAUGCAGGAGGAGUGGUUCAUAUGCUGGAAGGUUGGGAGCAUCAUGAGGUCGGAGCCAUUGACGUUGACCGUAUUGAUUUGGUGUGGGAAGCAGCCAUGAGACACGGCCUUCGCUCUGUUUCUUCACUCACAAGAUGAGUGAGAUGUGCUCUUAAAUUGUUAUCUUUGACUCUCCCAAGAUUGGUCAUUCUUUGUAAAGGUGAAGCAUGCAAGCAGGUUGAAAAAAAUAAGUAGAAUUUUCACCGUAUGUUAUUGUUUCACCUUUUAUUUAAGAUGUAUUUCACUUUAUAACAAUUUCCCUAAAUAGUAUCGACAAAGCUUUUAAUUAUCCAGCCUGAUCACUCCUCUGGUGGUACUUGGUAGUUAGGUUAAAUAAUAGUUUAAACCUAAGUUAAAUGAAUCUAAGCCCUUUUAAAUCUGUUCUUUCGAGAUUCCACCUUCCUGCCUAUCCUAUAAGAAGUCGAACACAUGUGCCCGUUGUGUGUAUGUAUGUUGAAGGGACUUAUUUCAACAACUUCAUAUAUACAUAAUAAAUUAUGUAUGUAGUAUAAAUGACUACUGACCACUACGUAAUGACCCUUUUAGAAUUUUAUUUGUAGUUUCUAUAUUUCAAAAUUAAUUGUUUGGCUAUAUACACAAUGAAUCAUCAAUGAAUAGCGAUUAAUUUUAUUCAAAAUUUUAAUGAAAGUUUUAUAAAAUAUUAAAUACUAGUACUAUGUGCGAAAUUUUGUUCUUUUGAACGGACUAUAUGCAGGUCUAUCAUAAAGUUUAAGGAGUUUAAAACAAUUACUGAUUGGAGAUUAAAUAAACUAUUUUGAACCAAUUUAGAAUAUAAAUAAUUUAUAUUCUUUCUGUUUUAAAAUGAUCUAUAUUUUAGAAAUAAAAAUUAGAGAAAUUCUCUAAAAUAGUUCUUUUUAGUUUAUCUACAUUUUUACCAUAUCGUUAACUAAUCUAGAUUUAGGGUUUAUAAUUAAGGAGUGAGUUUUCGGAAUAUAAUUUUAAAUUUUUAAAAAUAAAAAUAAAUAUUAAAAUAAUUUCAAAAUAAAAAGAAGUUAUUUUGGUCAUUCUUUUUCUAAUGAGCUAUUUUUGUGAGAAAAACUUAAAAAGAGCUAUUUGAAAGAAUUUUUCUAAAAAUUAUUUCAAAAGGAUAUAUAUUUUUUUUAUAUUUGUAAUGCAUUUUUAUUAGGUAAUAGAUUGUAAACCAACCGGGCCUCGUGGUCUGGUGGUAAAGGAACCUCGGCUGAGGUGCCCACCAUCACGAGUUCGAGCUCCGGCCACAGCGGAUUUAACAUGGUUUUCGUUUGGCCUCCAGAACCUUCCUCGCCAAUUCGGAUUGGACGCGGUGGAUAGUCGGACUAAGUGAGAGGUCCGGAUACCUGGAUUAUCAAAAAAAAAAAUUGUAAACCUCGAAUAAAUUAAUAGUAUAUUGAAUUUUGACUUAAUAAAAAUUGUGGGAAAGGUUAAUCACCAAAAACUAAUAUAUUUAUAAUCAAAAUUUAAGAUAUUUUAUUAAUAUGUGUGAAAACUCCAAAAUAUAUUUUUGGAAACCAAAAAAAUAUAUGGUAAUUAACCAAAAAAAUCUUUGAAGCUAAAAUGAAUAGUUCUAUACUAAAAAGUCAAAACUAGCCAGGGUAUAUGACUCUGAGCGUAAUUUUUUCUAUUAAUUAAUCAAGUUAAUCAUAAAUACUUUUGAAUUUUGAAGGGAAAUAGUUAUAUAUUUUAUGGUAAUUAACUGUAUAAUUUUGAAACACAAGAUCGGUAUAUCUGAUUCAACUGGUUGGACCGGGUUGAUUCACAAAAUGAUUAGCUUGGCCUAUUCAACAUGCGAGUCCAGGUUGAAAAUAUUGCAAAUCUCACUUAGCACUAGCAGUAGUCCCAGUGUUCGGUACUAGCUUGUUUUUGUACUAGACUAAAACUUCUUUAAUAUAAUGCUGAACACAGUUUUCGGGUGAAUAGUUGUUCUACGCAUUAAUUUUUUGCUAAAAUUAACUUCCAACUAGAUGCGAAAACAUUAACAUGGAAAUUAACAACUACGUACAAGAAAGUAAACACUGGAUGAUUUUUCUUGUCAAUGCAUUAAAUAGCGAGCCUGACCCUAUAGCUUACAUAUAUGUUUGGAUUUGAUUAAUGUUUUACCCAUGGCAUUUAUAUGAAGUUUAAACCCUAUCUAAGCCCUGUAAUAUUUGUACAGUACCAGUAUUGUACCCAACGUGGCAUGAAUGCUGAUUAAUUUGUGGUUUGAAAAUCACUUAAAAUAUAAAGAAAUGUAAAACAAAAGUGAGAAGAAAAGGACAAUGUGAAAAGAAAAUGGACAAAAUGAUAAGAGUGUACGAAGAAGCCACCGAGAGGGAGAAGUGUAACCAUCGCUGCUUCAACCGGAAACCGAACACUAAAUGCGUGUGAGAGAAAGAGAGUCCAGCUGUGAGAGCUGUGCCAUUGCAUCAAUUGGUUAUACGUCGUAUUAAAAUAAUAUAAUCAAGUCAAUAAAAUAUUUACAAAACAAUUUAUUAUAAAUUUUUUUGAUAAAACUAGUCAAUAUUAUACUAAUGUUUUGAGUUUCUUGCUGAUUAGGUCCAUAAUAGAAUACACAAACAUAAAUAGUACCUGUUUGGUUUACAAAUAUUCAUUUUUUUGGCCAUUCACACUACAUAAAAUAAGGAAGAUAGUUUUUCUUUCCAUUGAUUUUAUAUACAUUACAUGAGUAAUUAUCUUGGAUCUCAAAUCCCGCAUGAAGUCUGUUCCAUAAAUUAGAUACGUGAAAUGUUCAAAAUAUAUAUGUAAAUUGAUAAAUUUUGGAUAUAUUAGAACUGGGUUCGAUUAUAGAUUAUAAUAUGAAAGUUCAUGUAUAUAUAAAAACAUAUUAAAUUUAUAUAUGUAUAUUAUAAAUUUUAUUAUGUAAUUUAUAUAAUUCUAUAUAGAAAAUAUUUCCAGUUAUUUUAUAAUGUAUCAAAUUCAUUUCUCAUAUUAUCUAUUUUUGAAUUACUAAUUGCACUAUAAUUUUUAUUUUUUGCCAAAAAGUUGGAAUUCUUUUCACGCGAUAAUGCGUCUUAAAUAGUACCAGUCAUAAAAAAAUAGUUUUAAAAUGUUUUUUUUUUGUUUUUAUGGAUCUAAAAACAAAUUACUUUCUAUUAUAUAUUGUAUUACAGUGUUGUUGUUUAAUUGGCCAACAUCAUUAACAUACUAUUGUUUGUUUUAUUGGCCAAAAAAUUCCACAGUUUGAUAUAUAUAUUUCUUAAUUUUACUAAUAGAGAUAUGAAAGUGUUUCUCAAGUUUUUUUUGUGGUUGGAGGGAGCAAAACUAGAUAAGCUCUAGAUUAAAAGUUAGAAAGAAAAACAUCUACUAUUUAAACCAGCUUUCAGAAGAAAGAAAACAUCUAAUAUUCACAAAAGUGAAAUAUCCUUAGUUUUUUUUUUUAUCAAAAUCCUUAGUUUUUUUUUAAAUAUCCUUAGUUCUUAAAGAUAGAAGUAUAAAUGUUGCUACCAAAUUCGCCUUACAUACGACGAGUGAACAGAGUUAAAAUUAAUUGUCACUGACUAUACUCAGAUUUUGAUUGCUGUAAGAGUUUUCUUUUCAGGCGGAAAAAACUCGUUGUUAUUUAUUUGUGACUUCAAAAACGAUUUUCUUCAGCAAAUUGAUUUUCUUUUAUAUUUAAAUUUCGUUAAAAAGACCUAAUAAAUUUUCGGGUGUAGUUGGCCAUCCUAGUUUAAAUGCUUAUAUAAAUAACCAGAGCUCGAUGCUCUCAAUAAUGUCACAUAACACACAACUUUCAACCCAAAAAAAAAAAUCUCCAUACCUUUUCUUGAGAUUAGAGAGAACCCUAUCGUUAGAUCUCUCCAUCUCUCUCUCUUUGUUUUGACUUCCACAAACAGAGCAACAUCUUUCUCUUAGUAUUGCUUGAAACUGGAGCAAUCUUUAAGGUUAUAUAGACCAAUAAGAGUGAGAGAAGAUCUAGUCAUAAACAAAUCAAGAAAUUUCUAACUUCGAGGAGGUAACGAAAAGGGUUUAAGAGAAUAAGAAUGGUAGCUUUUUCAGCUUGGCCUUGGGGAAACUUUGGCAAUCUAAAGGUUUGAUCUGACUUCUCAAAAGGUCUGGUUUCUCGUGUGAAUCUCAUAUGUGUUUUUCUUGUCUGUGUAGUAUCUUCUCUACGCUCCGUUAGCUGCACAAGUAGUGUACUCAUGGGCGUACGAACAAGACUACUCGAGGGCUCUUUGGUGUCUUCAUAUCCUCAUCAUCUGUGGACUCAAAGGAUUCCUUCAUGUUCUUUGGAGCGUUUACAACAACAUGCUUUGGGCGUCUCGCACUCUAAGGAUUAACCCUAAUGGCGUCGACUUUAAGCAGAUUGAUCACGAAUGGCACUGGUAAAUCCCUCUCAAGUAACAUUUUGGGUACAUAUUAUAAUAAUAAUAAUAACUUGUCCUAAAAUCAAUAUUUUUAAGAUGUUACUCUGUUCUUGCUAUGGUCUUAAAUACCCAUAAAACCACCAAAGGUAUCGUUUUGAUCUGUGGGUUUUAUUUCAGGGACAACUACAUACUUCUGCAAGCAAUAAUAGCUAGCAUUAUCUGUUACAUGUCUCUUCCAUUGAUGACGAUUAACAGUAUACCUCUGUGGAACACGAAAGGACUCGUUGCAUUAAUUGUGCUACAUGUGACCUUCUCAGAGCCAUUAUACUACUUUCUUCACAGAACUUUUCAUAGUAACACCUACCUCUUCACGCAUUACCACUCCUUCCAUCACUCAUCUCCUGUGCCACAUCCCAUGACUUGUACAUUUUCAUCACUAAUAACCUUAUUCAAAAAUUCAUUCUUGUUUGUUGUAAUAUAACAAUAUUUUAUCUAUUGGGUGCAGCUGGAAAUGCGACGUUACUGGAAAGCCUUAUCCUCUGCGUCGUAGCUGGAGUUCCUUUGGUUGGAUCUUGCUUGCUAGGUGUUGGAUCAUUAGGGUUGAUCUACGGAUAUGCUAUUAUGUUUGAUUUCCUAAGAUGUUUAGGACAUUGUAACGUUGAAAUCUUCUCUCACAAGCUAUUCGAGACACUUCCAAUCCUUCGAUAUCUCAUCUACACUCCUACGUAUGCCGUUGACACUUUUAUUACCCUUUCGGCAAAGUAUUCACAUGUCAUUUUUCUUUUUGGAUUUGGUUAGGACACAUAAACAUGACUUAAUUUUGUCUUCUUUUUUUUUUUUACUUUAAGAAGCAAAAUUGCCAAGAUUGUAUUAGCUAUGAAAUAUGCCUAUCGAAAGUAAUUGGUGGUGUUACAUUUUUAGUUGCAUCACAAUGAUUUUACAGUGUAAUGAUUUAAAAAAUAUCUUUAAAAAGUUGAUUUUCUUGGUGGGGUUUAUGCAGGUACCAUAGUCUGCAUCAUCAUGAGAUGGGGACCAACUUUUGUCUAUUCAUGCCUAUCUUUGAUGUCUUGGGCAACACACUUAACUCAAACUCGUGGGGACUCCAAAAGAAGAUUCGCUUGUCUGCAGGUAAAUAUAGCAAACCUACUCCACGCAGUUUUUGUUUUUGUUUUUGUUUUUGUUUUGCAUAUCUAGCCCAAAGCCUGAACACACGAAUCUGUUACUAGACUAGUUGAAUGAAUGAAUACCAAACAGUUUAAUGGCAAUUUAUGAGGGACAUUAGUAGAAAUAGAGUUUGUACUUUGUGCAACCAAAGUGGGUGAGAAUUUUCUAUUUCUGGUCAAAGUCAAACCUCUUGAGCCAAAAGACAUUGUUACCCCUUCUUUAACCUGAAAACUACAGUUUUGUUUUAACUAACUUUGAUGUCCGUGUGUAGGGGAACGGAAGAGAGUGCCGGAGUUUGUGUUCUUGGCUCACGGGGUAGAUGUGAUGUCGGCGAUGCAUGCUCCGUUUGUGUUCAGAUCGUUUGCUUCAAUGCCAUACACAACGAGGCUCUUCUUGCUGCCCAUGUGGCCAUUCACGUUCAUGGUGAUGUUGGGCAUGUGGGUCUGGUCAAAGACUUUUCUUUUCAGCUUCUAUACCCUCAGGAACAAUCUUUGCCAGACUUGGGGAGUUCCAAGAUUCGGGUUCCAAGUAAAUGCCUCUGCUUUUUUUUCAGUUUUACCCUCUAAAAACAGACAGAACAGAGUGUUUUUACAGAGCAUUUUCCUCUGUUUUUGCAGUACUUUUUACCGAUUGCUAAACAAGGAAUUAACAACCAGAUCGAGAAUGCGAUUCUUAGGGCUGAUAAGAUUGGUGUUAAAGUUAUAAGCUUGGCUGCUUUGAACAAGGUUUGUGUCGGAACCGAAGUCUCAAAAAAAAAGUCUGAAACUUUUGAGUCAAGUCACUAAAAGGGUUGGUUUUGUUUGAGUGUUUGCUCAGAACGAAGCUCUAAAUGGUGGUGGGACGUUGUUUGUCAACAAGCAUCCUGACCUUAGAGUUCGUGUGGUCCACGGGAACACAUUAACCGCAGCAGUGAUUCUUAAUGAGAUUCCAAAAGAUGUGAAAGAGGUGUUCUUGACAGGAGCCACUUCUAAGCUGGGAAGAGCCAUCGCUCUCUACCUCUGUCGUCAGGGAGUGAGAGUUCUCGUAAGUUUUUUUUACUAAUGUCUCGAAUGUACGGUUUAAUAUAGUAUCCCAAAGUCUGACAUAUGUUGGAACCAAUUGACAGAUGUUGACACUAUCGGUGGAAAGAUUCCAAAAGAUUCAGAAAGAAGCUCCUGUUGAGUUCCAGAACUACCUUGUACAAGUGACCAAAUACAACGCUGCUCAAAACUGCAAGGUAGUGUAUUUGAGUUCUAACUGGUUUUCAUUUGUUGUGUAAAUGUAAAUGUAUUGACUUUGGGGUGUUUGAAUUAUGUAUAAUGCAGACUUGGAUCGUUGGGAAAUGGUUAACGCCAAGGGAGCAGAGCUGGGCUCCUAAAGGAACGCAUUUCCACCAGUUUGUGGUGCCACCAAUCCUCAACUUCAGGAGGAACUGCACUUACGGGGAUCUAGCUGCAAUGAGGCUCCCUGAAGAUGUUCAAGGGCUAGGAACCUGCGAGGUUUAAAGAAUGUUUGGUUUACAAUAGUCUUGAUUGUCUCUUUAGCCCUUUGGUACACCUGACUAAAACUUUAUGUGUGUAUGUUGUGGCAGUACACAAUGGACAGAGGGGUGGUGCAUGCAUGCCAUGCAGGAGGAGUGGUUCAUAUGCUGGAAGGUUGGGAGCAUCAUGAGGUCGGAGCCAUUGACGUUGACCGUAUUGAUUUGGUGUGGGAAGCAGCCAUGAGACACGGCCUUCGCUCUGUUUCUUCACUCACAAGAUGAGUGAGAUGUGCUCUUAAAUUGUUAUCUUUGACUCUCCCAAGAUUGGUCAUUCUUUGUAAAGGUGAAGCAUGCAAGCAGGUUGAAAAAAAUAAGUAGAAUUUUCACCGUAUGUUAUUGUUUCACCUUUUAUUUAAGAUGUAUUUCACUUUAUAACAAUUUCCCUAAAUAGUAUCGACAAAGCUUUUAAUUAUCCAGCCUGAUCACUCCUCUGGUGGUACUUGGUAGUUAGGACAAUGAAAGAACAAAGUGUCUUCAAUGUUCCUGUCCUGUACUCACAUUUGAUUUUAUUAGAGACAAUGUUACUUUGAAGCCCCCUGCUUUAAAGAUGAAAUAAUGGACCAAAGAGCUUGCUUUUGGCUUCUAAAUCAAACCAAUUGUUGAUACUUUAUUACAAACAUCUGCUUGAGUACUAAAAAGAAUGCAGAAGAAAGAGAUUAUUUUACCACACAGAAAAAAAAAGAAACUCUCCUAAUUAGAAAGACCAUCAUGAUGGUGAUUAACCCUUGAAACGUUCCCAAAAGGUGGCCAAGAAGAUCAAUAGGUGAGAGAUGAGAAGAAGAAUGGAGAUGACUAUCAAGAAGACACCUAGCUGCCACCAUUUCCUCCUUACAGAUCUUACGAAUCCUAACUUGCAAGACCUACAAUCAUAACACAACACGCUCCAAUCAUUCCUCCACAGCUGACAGUCACUUAGUCUUCCGACCAUGCCCCCGUACAGCACCUCCGUCUUCAAUGGUUGUCCCUCGUCUUUUCUUCUAUACCAAAACGUCGUGUUUAAAGCGUCCAUGUUGCAUGUCUCUGGAGGCAUGCAGCAUCCAUUCUACAAGAACAACAAAUAUCAAAACAACUUGUGUAAUUAACCUACUAGUUUAAAGAUCCUAUGGUACAUGAUCCUCUCAAACUAUUUGAAAAUCUUGUAAACAUGAUAAUAUGAUAUAUACAUUAUUCAUUUGAUAAUUGUGGAUUCUAAUAUUUUGGAGAUACAAUUUAAUAAGAAUUUUUAACGAUAUAUUUAUGUAUAUUAACUAUAAAACUUUUAUGGAUUAUACGUAAAUGUUUCAAUUACCUAUGUCAUCAUGCAUGUUAGAAUGCACCGGAUGCACAUGGUAAAAGAUGGUUAUGAUCUCAAACUGUAAGAAUAUCUACAAUGAACAAACCUUUAUUGGUGGCAAUUUUCUUCUAUUAUAAGGUUUAUCUUUUGGAGAUCCAUAAACAAGCUCGUUGCAUGCACCUUUAUCGUAGACACACGAUUUGAUAUUGUUCCAGUUUACAUUAUCCAUCACUUUGAGUUUAAACCACGUCCCAGUCGCCGGAAACCGCCUGGUCUGCAUCUCGUUGACUCCGGCGUACGCCAGACCGAUGAAUAGCAUUAGCAAAAGGAUCACAAACAUCACAACGAGUGCUGGCAUCGGAAACUUCCGUCGGAGAAACAGAGCUACAUUGCUGACGACGAAGACGGCGAGGAGACCGACGCUCGCGAUUGUCUGGAUACGUGGCAGACCGAGGAUAUCUUCGCAGUCGUAGCUACGCAUGUAGAGGAGCCACACAGCGUAGCCGAGGAGUGUAAGAGAUAGAAAGAAGGUGCAGAUGGGAAGUACCCCGAUGGCGAAAAGGUUCAUGAUUGUGACCAAUGUUCCAGCGGGUGGCUUAUCGCUUUGUGACUCCAUCUGGUCGGAGCUUUUUGCUUCUGGCUCACUCGUUGUUGUUAUUGCGGUUGCCGUGGCGGUGGUGGUUGCAGCUGGUUCCUCAACGGGUACUACUUGGGCACUAUCAGCCAUGGAGAAAGUGAAAGAAAUGUCUCUAUGGAGGUGUUUUGUUUGACAUUAGGAAUGUAUAAAAGAGAAAGAUCAUAAGUAUAGGUGUAUCAGGGGUGGGUUUUACAGAGUCAAAUGUAAGUUGGAGAGAAAUCCGGACACUUUGAUUAAGUACAAGCUGAUCCUGACCGAAUAUUUUGCUAUAUUCAAGCCCUUUUUGGUCUUUUUAGUCGGUAUGGAUUUAUCCCCUGUUCUAAAAAUCGGUCCGAUUCAUGCCAAAUCGGUGAAAAAAAAAAUCAUGCCAUAUCCGAUUUUUUUCCGCCUAGACCGCCUAAAUGACCGCCUAGCCGCCUAAAUGACCGCCUAGCCGCCUAGGCGGCCGCCUAAUCAAUUUUUUUUGGCCAUCCUAGUUUAAAUGCUUAUAUAAAUAACCAGAGCUCGAUGCUCUCAAUAAUGUCACAUAACACACAACUUUCAACCCAAAAAAAAAAAUCUCCAUACCUUUUCUUGAGAUUAGAGAGAACCCUAUCGUUAGAUCUCUCCAUCUCUCUCUCUUUGUUUUGACUUCCACAAACAGAGCAACAUCUUUCUCUUAGUAUUGCUUGAAACUGGAGCAAUCUUUAAGGUUAUAUAGACCAAUAAGAGUGAGAGAAGAUCUAGUCAUAAACAAAUCAAGAAAUUUCUAACUUCGAGGAGGUAACGAAAAGGGUUUAAGAGAAUAAGAAUGGUAGCUUUUUCAGCUUGGCCUUGGGGAAACUUUGGCAAUCUAAAGGUUUGAUCUGACUUCUCAAAAGGUCUGGUUUCUCGUGUGAAUCUCAUAUGUGUUUUUCUUGUCUGUGUAGUAUCUUCUCUACGCUCCGUUAGCUGCACAAGUAGUGUACUCAUGGGCGUACGAACAAGACUACUCGAGGGCUCUUUGGUGUCUUCAUAUCCUCAUCAUCUGUGGACUCAAAGGAUUCCUUCAUGUUCUUUGGAGCGUUUACAACAACAUGCUUUGGGCGUCUCGCACUCUAAGGAUUAACCCUAAUGGCGUCGACUUUAAGCAGAUUGAUCACGAAUGGCACUGGUAAAUCCCUCUCAAGUAACAUUUUGGGUACAUAUUAUAAUAAUAAUAAUAACUUGUCCUAAAAUCAAUAUUUUUAAGAUGUUACUCUGUUCUUGCUAUGGUCUUAAAUACCCAUAAAACCACCAAAGGUAUCGUUUUGAUCUGUGGGUUUUAUUUCAGGGACAACUACAUACUUCUGCAAGCAAUAAUAGCUAGCAUUAUCUGUUACAUGUCUCUUCCAUUGAUGACGAUUAACAGUAUACCUCUGUGGAACACGAAAGGACUCGUUGCAUUAAUUGUGCUACAUGUGACCUUCUCAGAGCCAUUAUACUACUUUCUUCACAGAACUUUUCAUAGUAACACCUACCUCUUCACGCAUUACCACUCCUUCCAUCACUCAUCUCCUGUGCCACAUCCCAUGACUUGUACAUUUUCAUCACUAAUAACCUUAUUCAAAAAUUCAUUCUUGUUUGUUGUAAUAUAACAAU